CCAGGAUUCUGUGGGAUGAAGCCGUAACCUUCAGUUCCAUCAGGCCUUACCUGAAAAGAAGAAGGCCCUCCCUGCAUUCACCAUCAUCCAGAAGGAGAGAAGGGCAUAUAAGAGAUUACCAAAGAGAUCGCUCAUUAUCCCAUAACUGGACACUCAAGUGGCCAGAAGGUGACAAUAGAACCCCAGACAGAAUCCAGAUGGCUGCCUGUUUUAUGAACUCUUCUUGGAAGUGUGGCUAUAUAAGAAAUAUUAAAGCCCUGAGAUGAUGACAAAGUCCGAAUUUGGCCCCAGGAAUCCUGUACAUUAUUUGGACAGCUUGCUGUGAAAAAACCCUGUGGAGUGGGUCAAGCUGAGAGCUAGUGACUGGCAAAAAGUAACCAACGCACGACACUGAGUAAAAAGAUUAAUGGUAUUUGUAGAAGCAACAUCACAGAAGUGAUUAUUAAGAAUUCUUGAAAAGGUAAUGGAUUGGCUUUUAAUAACCUGCUGUAUUUUACUCCCACUGAGAAGAGGAAUGUCUACAGUUGA